rnacentral:misc_RNA from 1 species
GAUGAAGAACGUAGCGAAAUGCGAUAAGUAGUGUGAAUUGCAGAAUUCAGUGAAUCAUCGAAUCUUUGAACGCACAUUGCGCCCCUUGGUAUUCCAUGGGGCAUGCCUGUUCGAGCGUCAUUUGUACCUUCAAGCUUUACUUGGUGUUGGGUGUUUGUCCUGAGGGACUCGCCUUAAAGUAAUUGGCAGCCAGUGUUUGGUUUUGAAGCGCAGCACAAGUCGCGAUUCAAGGCUAUACACCAGCUUCCACAAGCCUUUUUCACUUUUGACCUCGGAUCAGGUAGGGAUACCCGCUGAACUUAAGCAUAUCAAUAAGCGGAGGA